AUGAACGCUGGCGGCGUGCCUAAUACCUGCAAGUCGAGCGAACGGACGAGAAGCUUGCUUCUCUGAUGUUAGCGGCGGACGGGUGAGUAACACGUGGAUAACCUACCUAUAAGACUGGGAUAACUUCGGGAAACCGGAGCUAAUACCGGAUGAUAUUUUGAACCGCAUGGUUCAAAAGUGAAAGACGGUCUUGCUGUCACUUAUAGAUGGAUCCGCGCUGCAUUAGCUAGUUGGUAAGGUAACGGCUUACCAAGGCAACGAUGCAUAGCCGACCUGAGAGGGUGAUCGGCCACACUGGAACUGAGACAUGGUCCAGACUCCUACGGGAGGCAGCAGUAGGGAAUCUUCCGCAAUGGGCGAAAGCCUGACGGAGCAACGCCGCGUGAGUGAUGAAGGUCUUCGGAUCGUAAAACUCUGUUAUUAGGGAAGAACAUAUGUGUAAGUAACUGUGCACAUCUUGACGGUACCUAAUCAGAAAGCCACGGCUAACUACGUG
rnacentral:rRNA from 1 species